ensembl:lncRNA
GUUUAUUUCGCUUGGUCUAGCCAACAAUCAGGCAAUGACCAUAAAUCAGGUAUGUCUCCAAAAACCAGGAAAUAACAUACAACAAAUUACCCAGGAGAAAAAACAACUUCACCACUGACAGUAGGAAUAAGCCCGCACAAAAGCAGGCGGGCACUGGAAGUUUAAAUAGAGUUUAAAUAGACCAUUGAUGAACCAAAAUAAGAAACAGGUUGAAAACAAUCAAGACAAAACCAACAGAAAAGAAAAAGGUAGUUAGUAGACCGGUGACAACAACUGGCGCCCGAACAGGGAGAGGAGCCACCUUCGGUGGAAGUCCCCGUGCCUUUUGAAUUAUUUUAUUUAUCUGUUAUUUUACCAGGUAAGUUGACUGAGAACACAUUCUCAUUUGCAGCAACAACCUGGGGAAUACUUACAGGGGAGAGGGAUGAAGGAGCCAAUUGAAAACUGGGGAUUAUUAGGUGACCAUGAUGGUUUGAUGGUCAGAUUGGGAAUUUAGCCAGGACCCCUACUCUUACAAUAAGUGCCAUGGGAUCUUUAAUGACCUCAGAGAGUCAGGACACCCAUUUAACAUCACAUCUGAAAGACGGCACCCUACACAGGGCAGUGUCUCCAAUCACUGCCCUGGUGCAUUGGGAUAUUUUUUUAGACCAGAGGAAAGAGUGCCUCCUACUGGCCCUCCAACACCACUUCCAGCAGCAGCAUCUGGUGUCCCAUCCAGGUACUGACCAGGACCAACCCUGCUUAGCUUCAGAAGCAAGCCAGCAGUGGUAUGCAGGGUGGUAUGGUGCUGGCCUUUACACGGCAUACUGUAAUUUGGGCUGAAUAAAAAACCCUAUACGCAUUCCUGCGCCUGUCUCCUGAAUCAUUGUUACCAACGUGACAGCAUAAUCGACCAUUGAGGGAGACAGCGGGAAUGGCCCGUCCAACGACGCUGCAACUGGUCCGCCCGGCGCCGCUGCAACUGGGUCGUCUGACGUCACCACAACGGGUCCGUCCGACGACGCAACUUCAGCAGCUACAACUGGCCCGUCCGAUGCCGCCACAACCGGACCGUCCGACGCCACUGCUACUGGUCUGUCCAACGACAACGGAACUUCAGCAGCUGCAUCAGGUUUCUGGAAGGACUGUGAGGGGAUGGCAGAGGCUCGCCUUGUAGGAGACUGUUGCUGAUUACUGCUGACGUGUGGUGGUCUCUAAGGCGCUUGCUUAUAGCUGACGAAGCAUCACCCAGGUGGGUGCUACACUUCUCAGUGGUGAAUCUUUUCCGACCGCGGAGGAGGAGUCGCUGUGAACUUCAGAGACAAAGGUGCCUGAUGAAUAGCUCCGGUCCUGCCUGUCUGAAUAAUCUUACUCCCUAGCUGGUCCAUCGACACCAGCUUGACUCAAGCUUCUCCUGUACAGAACUGCAACAGCUGUGGAAGACCAGCUCCCUGACAUCUUUUUUGUGUGUGUGACUGAGAAUCUGUACGAAAAGUGCUAUUAUUAUUAUAAAGAUCCGAUUAAAUUACUAGAGGCGCUAUGUUAUAAACCCUCAAAGUUCCAGAAUGGUAUGAAAAUGGCAGCCAUUGUGGUCAGGCAGAAAUCCAAACCAGUCUAAUUGGAAUGAAUGGCAGUAGAGGCAUAGGUGAUGCAUUCCUUCUUUUACUGAUGCAGGGAAAUAAAAGCAAGGCAUGUGCAGGGGUGUCAUUUCAGCUAAACCUAGGGUAUGGCAGGGGGUGGGGUUUAUAAAGUUCAAGAUCAUUUACUGCAUUUCUACACAAUUCAAAACACUAAAAUGCAUUUUGGAGAACAAAAAAAACAACCCAAAUUUACUCCAGCCAUUAUCACCUUGGCUACUGUAACUUUCUUCACCUCAGUCGACAGGAGACUUAACAUUCUACAAACCCGUCAUACAGCAAUUCUCUGCUAUGCGCACGAGCUCAGCAUCGGGAUCAAAAAGUCUAGUUUCAUGUCAAGUCAAACAGCAGUUAUCUCGCCAUCUAGAGACAUCUUCCAGAUCUGCACUGUUUUGAGAGAAAAGUUCACUCACUGCAGAGCUGUGUCAAUGCGCUGUCCAUAGGCCUAAAGCCAGCUAGCCGGCCAAACAACCUUCCCGUCCUGCUCUGAGUUAUCCGCAUGGUCCAUAAACCAGCCCACUAUUACUGCUAAACUGCAUUUGCCUUUUAAUCGGGAUUGGAAUGAUUUUAGUAGCCUAUUUUAAAUUGUUGGCGCUGAGCUAGUGUAAGGCAACUGCCACACUCUGCCAUACCGAAGUGACACCCCUGGGCAUGCGAUGUAUCAGAAAUUGUGCAACAGAAUUAUUGUCAAGCCAGAAUAUUGUCAUAUCAUUAUACGUACAGUUUACACCAGUUUUAUACCAAUGUUUGGUAUAAAUAGCCUGUAAAAUAUAUGUAAACAGACCAUAAAUGUCUCAAUGUUUGUUUUCUUGAAAAGCUGUGUGGUAUACUAUGAUACAAUAUUGAUACUGGUUGCAUUUACACGUUUUCUAAGUCCUGUCAACUAAUUUCAGC